ACUCCUACGGGAGGCAGCAGUGGGGAAUAUUGCACAAUGGGCGCAAGCCUGAUGCAGCCAUGCCGCGUGUAUGAAGAAGGCCUUCGGGUUGUAAAGUACUUUCAGCAGUGAGGAAGGUGGAUAUGUUAAUAGCAUAUUCAUUUGACGUUAGCUGCAGAAGAAGCACCGGCUAACUCCGUGCCAGCAGCCGCGGUAAUACGGAGGGUGCGAGCGUUAAUCGGAAUUACUGGGCGUAAAGCGCAUGCAGGUGGUUUGUUAAGUCAGAUGUGAAAGCCCGGGGCUCAACCUCGGAAUUGCAUUUGAAACUGGCAAACUAGAGUACUGUAGAGGGGGGUUAGAAUUUCAGGUGUAGCGGUGAAAUGCGUAGAGAUCUGAAGGAAUACCGGUGGCGAAGGCGGCCCCCUGGGACAGAUACUGACACUCAGAUGCGAAAGCGUGGGGAGCAAACAGGAUUAGAUACCCUGAUAGGCU
rnacentral:rRNA from 1 species